rnacentral:rRNA from 1 species
CCUACGGGAGGCAGCAGUGGGGAAUAUUGCACAAUGGGCGCAAGCCUGAUGCAGCAACGCCGCGUGAAGGAAGAAGGCUUUCGGCUCGUAAACUUCUAUCAACAGGGACGAAAGAAAUGGCGUUACCUGAAUCAGAAGCCCCGGCUAACUACGUGCCAGCAGCCGCGGUAAUACGUAGGGGGCAAGCGUUAUCCGGAUUUACUGGUAGGAAAGGGUGAGUAGGCGGCAUGGUAAGCCAGAUGUGAAAGCUUUGGGCUUAACCCGAGGAUUGCAUUGGAAACUAUCAAGCUUGAGUACAGGAGAGGCAAGCGGAAUUCCUAGUGUAGCGGUGAAAUGCGUAGAUAUUAGGAAGAACACCAGUGGCGAAGGCGGCUUGCUGGACUGAAACUGACGCUGAGGCACGAAAGCGUGGGGAGCGAACAGGAUUAGAUACCCCUGUAGUC